CCUACGGGUGGCAGCAGUGGGGAAUAUUGGACAAUGGGGGGAACCCUGAUCCAGCCAUGCCGCGUGUGUGAAGAAGGCCCUCGGGUUGUAAAGCACUUUCAGUGAGGAAGAACGCCUGGUGGUUAAUACCCAUCAGGAAAGACAUCACUCACAGAAGAAGCACCGGCUAACUCCGUGCCAGCAGCCGCGGUAAUACGGAGGGUGCGAGCGUUAAUCGGAAUUACUGGGCGUAAAGCGCGCGUAGGUGGCUUGAUAAGCCGGUUGUGAAAGCCCUGGGCUCAACCUGGGAACGGCAUCCGGAACUGUCAAGCUAGAGUGCAGGAGAGGAAGGUAGAAUUCCCGGUGUAGCGGUGAAAUGCGUAGAGAUCGGGAGGAAUACCAGUGGCGAAGGCGGCCUUCUGGACUGACACUGACACUGAGGUGCGAAAGCGUGGGUAGCAAACAGGAUUAGAUACCCCAGUAGUC
rnacentral:rRNA from 1 species